CCGUGCCGGAGUUAACACAAUAAGUAAUCCACCUGGGGAGUACGACCGCAAGGUUGAAACUCAAAGGAAUUGACGGGGGCCCGCACAAGCAGUGGAGUAUGUGGUUUAAUUCGAAGCAACGCGAAGAACCUUACCAGGUCUUGACAUCGAGCGACGAACUUAGAGAUAAGUUCUUCCUUCGGGACGCGAAGACAGGUGGUGCAUGGUUGUCGUCAGCUCGUGUCGUGAGAUGUUGGGUUAAGUCCCGCAACGAGCGCAACCCUUAUCAUUAGUUGCUACGCAAGAGCACUCUAAUGAGACUGCCGUUGAUAAAACGGAGGAAGGUGGGGAUGACGUCAAAUCAUCAUGCCCAUUAUGACUUGGGCUACACACGUACUACAAUGGUGAUCAAACAGAGGGAAGCGAAGCCGCGAGGCAGAGCAAACCCCAGAAACCCGAUCUCAGUUCGGAUCGCAGGCGGCAACCCGCCUGCGUGAAGUCGGAAUCGCUAGUAAUCGCAGGUCAGCAUACUGCGGUGAAUACGUUCCCGGGUCUUGUACACACCGCCCGU
rnacentral:rRNA from 1 species